UUCAGUAAAAGCACCGGGGAUGAACAACUUUUGUCACGUGACCGCAAAAGUCAACGCCGGUUGCAGAAACAGAUUGUAAUCUUGUACAUUAAGAAACAUGACGCUCGUGUGUGAAAUCUGUGGAAAGACAUUUAAAUCGAAGUGGGGGUUAAAGCUUCAUGAUAAGCGCCACAGAGGGACUGGACGAUUCGCCUGUUGUGGAAAAACAUUUUACACAAAACAGGCGUUCAACAGACACAGAUGCAGCAUUCAUGGUGUUGAAAAGCCGUUCCCCUGUGAACAAUGCGGCAAAAAGUUUUCAACCAAAGAUGACCUGAAUCGUCACGUCCGGAGGGAGGUUGCUGCAAAGCAAUUUACCUGCUCAAUUUGCAAUGCAACGCUCCGGGAGAAAAUUGACCUUCAGGCCCACCUUGCCACCCACAAUGGAGAGAAAAACUUUGCUUGUGAUAUGUGUGAAAAGAGGUACAGGCACCGCAGUAGUCUAUCAAAGCACAGAUCUGCAAAGCACCGGGCCUAGUCAUCUGUUGCAUGACGAUGAUAAGACCAAGAAUUAUUUUUAAUUCUUACCAAUGUGCCGUGGUUAUUUUCUUAAUUAUUGAAAAUACAGACUGUCAUACAAUAAUAUAUAGUAUUACGCGUGUUUUUGCUUCUUAAACAUUGUGUUUCAUAUCGUUUAUCUUGUGUUGUUUUGUUUGAUAUUCCUGUUUUUAAUAAGAUUAUUGUUGUAAUAUUUAUCAUUCUAAUUUAAAAUGAUUAUGAUAAUGGUUGAUCUCAUACAAAUUAUUGUGUUCAUUAUUGCUCAUCUGUGAUUACUGUUGAUCUCAGCCCAUGAAUUGUGAUUUAUAUUGAUUAUCUGUGAUUAUUGUUGAUCUUAUCAAAAUAAUUGUAAUUUAUGUUGAUUAUCUGUGAAUUUUUUAUCUUAACCUAUUAAUAGUGAUUUAUAUUAUCUGUGAUUAUUGUUGAUCUUAUCAAAAUCAUUGUGAUUUAUGUUGAUUAUCUGUGAUUAUUGUUGAUCUCAACCGAUUAAUUGUGAUUUAUAUAACCAGUGAUUAUUGUUGAUCUUUUCAAAAUCAUUGUAAUUUAUGUUGAUUAUCUGUGAUUAUUGUUGAUCUUUUCGAAAUCAUUGUAAUUUAUGUUGAUUAUCUGUGAUUAUUGUUGAUCUUUUCAAAAUCAUUGUAAUUUAUGUUGAUUAUCUGUGAUUAUUGUUGAUCUCACCAUAUCCGCUGGAAUAUACAUUUGAGCCGCGCUCUGUGAAAAGGGGGUUUAAUGCAUGUGCGUAAAGUGCAGUCCACAUAGGCUAAUCAGGGACGGCACUUUCCGCUUUUAUGAUAUGUUUUGUUAAAAGAAAGUCUCUUCUGAGCAAAAAUCGAGUUUAUCGGAAAGGUUUGUCCCUAAUUAGCCUGUACGGAAUGCACAGGCUAAUAUGUGACGACACCUUACGCACAUGCAUUAAACCCCCUUUUCACAGAGCGAGACUCAUUUGUAAUCUGCGAUUUUUGUUUAUCUAUUUCGAAUCAAUAUGAUUAAAAUAUAUUUUUGGUGAGUUAGCUUUUUGUCUCAUUGGAAUCAUUGUGCGAAUUGUCAACAAUUACAUGUAAAUCUGUAAUUCCUUCUCAAGUUGCACAUAGGCCAGUUUAAUGUUUUGCGUAUAAGCUAUUAUUGCGAUACGGGAUAUUCUUUGCAGCAAUAAAACAAUUAAUCUGCA